GCCCAGCUAGCUUAGUUGGUAGAGCAUGGGACUCUUAAUCCCAGGGUCCUGGGUUUGAUUCCCACAUUGGGCG